AUUGAACGCUGGCGGCAGGCCUAACACAUGCAAGUCGAGCGGAGCGGCGGACGGGUGAGUAAUGCCUAGGAAACUGCCUGAUGGAGGGGGAUAACUACUGGAAACGGUAGCUAAUACCGCAUACUAUCAGAUGAGCCUAGGUCGGAUUAGCUAGUUGGUGGGGUAAAGGCCUACCAAGGCGACGAUCCGUAACUGGUCUGAGAGGAUGAUCAGUCACACGUGAACUGCGACACGGUCCAGACUCCUACGCGAGGCAGCAGUGGGGAAUAUUGGACAAUGGGCGAAAGCCUGAUCCAGCCAUGCCGCGUGUGUGAAUAAGGUCUUCGGAUUGUAAAGCACUUUAAGUUGGGAGGCGUUACCAACAGAAUAAGCACCGGCUAACUUCGUGCCAGCAGCCGCAGUAAUAC
rnacentral:rRNA from 1 species